AAUUGCAUAAUCUGGCUGCUACAUCUGUCACCCUAUAGGUCCCCAGGAUUGAUUUGGUUGAUCUGGCUAGCUAGGCCGGUGUCCCCUUCCUCCCUUCAUUGUGGCAGCACUGUGUGACUCCUUCCCAAAGCUAUGAGCAAGGUGGAAGAGGACAACCACACUCGAUAGUGUAAGACCAUUUUUGUGAUCAAGGAUAUAGAGCUUCUGCUGCUACUCCUCUGCCAGAACUUCCAAACAAGCUCUCAGACUGCAUACUGACCAAGCACACUCAUCAGAAUAAAUGGUUUUGUAAACCCCAUGUUACUAAAACAACAAUAAUAUCACUUCUACAUUAAAUUUUUUGUU
ensembl:misc_RNA 7SK 7SK RNA